CUGAGCUGCCUCAGUCCCACCACUGUGGAGCCAUCAGCAAGGAGGACAACUUCAAAUGGAGCGAUAAGGACUGUCGCCUCCAGCUGCCGUUUCUUUGUGAGAAAGAAGUUUGAGGUUGUCUACGUUUUUAAAUCAUUCAAUUAUGAGGAGGAGCGACAGCCACUUUAUGAAACCAGACGUGAAAAAUUCAGUCAUCCUGCUCUGCCUCCGGUCCCUGUUCUCCAGAUUUUCACCUGCUCCAGAUCUCUGCUCUGCCUGACUCUCUCCACCACCCACAGCCUCUGCCCCCGGUCCUGUUUCCCCAGCCUAAGGAAGCUCAGCCCAAUUCCCUCCACUGUGUGUUGUCGCCUUAGCUGGCCCCCUGUAAUAAACUCUGAUGUC